rnacentral:rRNA from 1 species
UACAGAGGGGGCAAGCGUUGUUCGGAAUUACUGGGCGUAAAGGGCGCGUAGGCGGCCUUCUAAGUCGAACGUGAAAUCCCCGGGCUCAACCCGGGAACUGCGUCCGAGACUGGAAGGCUUGAAUCUGGGAGAGGGAUGUGGAAUUCCAGGUGUAGCGGUGAAAUGCGUAGAUAUCUGGAGGAACAUCGGUGGCGAAGGCGGCAUCCUGGACCGGUAUUGACGCUGAGGCGCGAAAGCCAGGGGAGCAAACGGG